rnacentral:lncRNA from 1 species
UCAAGUUAGAGAAACUCUACAGUCCUCAAGGGGGGUAAGAAAUACCCAACAAAAGAAGUGCAAUAUUUGCCUUCUCAUUUUGCUAAUUGAUGGAAGACAUGAUUAGCUAAAAGAGGAGACCAAGAGAAGGACAAACCUAAAUCACUAGCAACAUCUAGUCAUAGAGCUUUGCCUAUCAAAAAAAAAAAAAAACAUCUAGUCAUAGAGCAAUGUUGACCUACAGGAAGCAAAAACUAGCAGCGUUGAAGACUUAUAGUAAGUAGAGAAAAUGCAGUCAUAUGUUGAUUAAUGGGGGAAUUUUUAGACAACUUUUUCGAUAUCAAGAAUGGGUUUUCCAGCA